rnacentral:rRNA from 1 species
UACGUAGGGUGCAAGCGUUAAUCGGAAUUACUGGGCGUAAAGCGUGCGCAGGCGGUGAUGUAAGACAGAUGUGAAAUCCCCGGGCUCAACCUGGGAACUGCAUUUGUGACUGCAUCGCUAGAGUACGGCAGAGGGGGAUGGAAUUCCGCGUGUAGCAGUGAAAUGCGUAGAUAUGCGGAGGAACACCGAUGGCGAAGGCAGCCUUCUGGGCCAACACUGACGCUCAUGCACGAAAGCGUGGGGAGCAAACAGGA